ACAGCCUUCACAGAACAGAUGAUUACAUGGAAUGUUCCUCGUGUUCUGCCUCCUCUUGUUCCAACACCACAAAUUACUACCCUUGAUGUUCAAAUGGGAGUUGAUGGCCGCAAGCUUGACCCUGCAAUGAUUCAUAAUAGAGAUUAUAAACUGGAUGUCGGUCCCCAGCUAAUCACUGUAAAAAUUCCUGUGGGAGCUGAUGGUGGAUAUUACAAGAGCCAUGUAUUGGACAACACCUAUGUGAUCUCUUACUCUAUUGAACCAAUGCUGGAGCAUACCUGGCAAGAUGGGCCUGAGAAGACCAAGUACACAGUACUUCAUCCAAUAACCACUCCUUUCAUGCCUCGGCCACCAGUUGUCACAAACAACACUGUUCCUAAAGCCAGAGUGUUCAAUGUGACCCUGGGGACAUUCCUGCCUGAUGUGGAGCUGGUCAAAAUUAUAGUUGGAUUGGAGUCAUUAACUGUGCCAGAAGCCAACCUAAAAGGUUAUAAUGUCCAGGAGCAUGUCUUUCCCAAUGGAUCCAAGACCUACACUCUCCAGGUGCCAUUGAGGACCCCAAUGUGAAGCAAAAGGUAACUCCUCCAGACACCAGAACCUACAUUCUGCCCCUGACCUACUUGCUGAAUAUAGUGCCAGAGAAUACACCCUUUACUCAUCCUGCUGUAGUUGAAGCCAUUCUCAAAGACAUCAUUCUACCUACAGUAACUGGCUACUGUGAUGGUGCUGCAUUCUAUACCAUGGUAACAUAUGGCAACAUGGGUCGCAACUGGGUUCCUUUUGUGGGCUCAAGAGAACUUGGUGGAAGUCUGCUUGCCCUGUACAAGUAUAAUGCCAACGCUACCAAUUUCUGGAUGACUGUGCCAUACAAUUCAGUUGAUGCCACAUAUGAAGUGAUCAGUUCUUCGGGCAUCAGAAGCAGGCUUGACUUGACCUUGAAGGAUGUUGGCACCAUGGUUGUGGUGGCUGACUUUUCUCUGUCCUGCAGUUUCCCUACAAAGAUGAUUGAUUGCUUCACCAAUGGAACUAUGGCAGCUCUCGCUGUGAAAGUGGAAUCUGUCCC